rnacentral:tRNA from 1 species
GAGUGUGGCAUAAUGGUUUGAGCAUUGGACUAGAACUCUGGAGACUAGGGUUCAAAUCCCAGCUCAGCA